GGUUUGUUAGCUCAAUGGUAGAGCGUUCGCCUGUUAAGCGAAUGGUUGUGGGUUCGAGUCCCUCACUUACCGCCA
rnacentral:tRNA from 1 species